CUUCCUUCUCCCUGCCUGGCCCUGCUGCCAGUGUGUCAUGGAGCCCUCAGAGCUGUUGGCUUUGCAAGUCUGCAGUGCGCUGGUAUUUCACAGCUAAUCCUCUUCUGGAAGAGUUGGGAGUAGUUGUGUGUGCAGAAUACAUUAUUGGUAGCACAGUAACAGACGUGUGAGAGGAAGCUAUGGCAUCAAAGGAGCCGGCCUCUUUCGUGGACAGAACCACCUGGGAUUUCCUCAACCUCCUGGACAUGCUGGGGAGCCGGAACGGACGGGUAGGGGUGAUGGAGGUGGACCAUGCUGAGUCAAGAGCUCCCUCAUUGUUGGUGGAUUUUACCCGGGACCUGUGUGGCACAGGGGACAUCAAGCACAAACCGCAGCAGGCAGAGAAUGAGGGAAAGGAAGAGGAAGACCUGGUUCCCCCACAUCUGAUUUUUAUGCUAUGGCAAGCCAGCGUGUUGAAAAGGCUCAUGCAGUGGGAUCACCUGGAGGAAGCUGUCCGGGAUGUGAGGAGCCUCCUCCCCUGCCUGCCUCAUGUGCUGGUGCUCGUGAUGAUCCGUCCUGACUCCCCCGAGCAGCUGGACCAGGCAGUGAGAGCGCUGAGGAGAAUGCAGUGUGUGCUGGAUGGGGCCCUGCAACUGACUGUAGAGACUGCAAUUUACAGCCCAGGCCAGCCUGGAGGCGUCCUGGAGGCAAAGAGAGCUGCCUGUAGGGCACUGAGAGAAGCCUUGAACUGCCAUGAAGGUAACUGGGUAGCACAGCUAGACACAGGGGUGAGGAACACAAAAACAAGCUCAGGGCAGAGCCUGAGGGACAGUGUAGACAGAAGUGGUGCUUGUUGACUGGAUUCAGAUACAAGACAAGCUGGACCUUGCAGGCAAUAUGAGCCAGAAAUGACAAUGAGGGUUUACACGCUGGGAUGGGGAUGGACUAUGUGUCCAAGCUAAGUGUGUUCCCUCUUCCAAGUCAGAUGGUGUUGGGUCUACCUUGCCCCAAAACACACAUGGCAGUGGAAAUGCUGCUCACUGUAAGAGCUGCGGUUCGGACUCCCUGAUGGAGCUUUCUGUGAUGAUGUUAACUGCUCCACAGCCUCACUGACCCUGAGUUCUUCAUUGGAGGGAUGUGCCAACCUUUUUUGGGUGGCCAUAGGCCUUAGCUUUGAAAGGAUGGUGUCAGAUGUUCUUCUAUCAUUUGUGUUCUUCCCCUAGAAGUCGACUCCCAGGAGCCAUUUGUUAUUUCACUCCCGGAGCUCAGAUACUGCCGAGUUCUGCCUGAACGCAGGCAAGAGAAAGUAUCAAAGACAGAUGGAGAAUGAAUUCCCUUGGGCAUCUGAAUCUGUCAGGUUGGUUUUAGCACUAUCCUGCUGGAUGUCCCUUUGCAGAGCACUUCCUUCCUGCUGACUUGCUUGUCUGCCUAGACCUGUAUGGAUGAGAUUCAGUGUGUGGCUGCUGCCAGAAGGGGACAGUGCGCCCUCAGCAUCGCACUGUCCUUGCCACAGAGCUCAGAGUUCUUUGCUGCAUUGGCUGAACAGUCUGCCUUGGGAAUUUUUUUAUCAAAAGUCCCUGGGUUUGUGCUUUGCAUUAAAUGCCUUGCUUGAUUAUCAAAAUGUCCCUAAGAAACCUGCUCCUAAGGGAACUGUCAGCAGAAAGGGAAUCAGAGCAGGCCAGAAGCCUCUAAAUUUUAAACUGUCCCAAAACUGAAAUAGUGAGAGAAACUCAAGACUAAGACCUCAGACCAUGUUUUCCCAGGAGAACCUGGAUGCAGGAAUCUUUGGUACAUGGUUCUCAUCAGGAACAAAGCUCCUGAAGCUCUCCAGGGUUCUUUGUAGCAGGGAGUUGACCUUGCAUACAAGCGGGUACACAUCCAGCAGAUUGGGUUUCUGGGAUGGGUUAUUUUGGAUGGGAGGGACUGUGGGAGCAGUGGAAUAUUUUUAAAUCCAAUUACCCACUUAAUAGCUGAACUCAUUUCCCAUCCUCUCUGGGCACAGCAAAGCACUAUAGGUAGCUGCACUUUUUUGCAUUGGGAGUUUAUAUGUAUUUUUUCUCUGGUGUUUUUUGUAGAUCUUUUGUCAUCCUAAGAUCUUCAUUAUCAUCAAAAAAGGAUUAAACACCUGCUAUUUAUCUAA